rnacentral:lncRNA from 1 species
AAGACAAUCCCUUCUGGAUGGAAGCAGAAAUAAGAUGCUGAUGGAGCUGCUAUUCCUCUCUACUACUCAGCCAUCUGCAGAGAAAGGCUACCCAGGGCUUCGCUGCUAUCCUUGCUUUCCUGAAGGGCUGCAGCGUCCUCAUCGGUCUCUACCAUCCACUCUAAUUCCUUGCAAUUUUUGUCCACACUUUAACCAGAAUGAAUUUGUCAAAACAGAACAACAACAACAAAAAUGUUAUCCUGUUGUCAGUGAUAUCCUACUGAUCUUAAAAUAGAGCAAAAUUCUUCACAUGGCCUCCCAUACUCCAGUUCUGGCCUUGUUCCCUGCUCCUCACCCCUCCGUUGUUGCACUGCUGCAAUCACUCUGGCCCAGCGACUUUCUCUCCCUCCCUGCUCAGACCUCCCCCACCGUCUGAGGAACACUUUCCAUCUCUGCCGCUUCUCAUCACAUUAACUCUCAUUCACAUGUCUGGUAUUUUUGCCAUAAGCAUCUUUGCCAGAGACAUCUUUGCCGCAAACAUUUCUGCCACAGACAUAACUAACUGCCUGUAAAGCAAUUUUUCCAUAAAAGAUAAAAUAACAAAAAAAUAAAAUAAUAGAGGGACAUUCAAAAGGACAUAAUGAAACACCCAGUACAUAUCUGGACUACAUUUAGACAUUUCAUUGUAUGCCCAGUCCUUAGGUUUCACCAAAUCAUCUAAGCCAGAUUCUGUGCCAAGUACCAAAGUUCUGUCCAUGUCAUGUUCUCUACUAUCAAAUAGCAAAAAGCUCUCACCAUAUUCAAGAAAGUCAUACUCAUCAGAAAUCAUGUACCCAUUUCUUCUUUGGGAGAGGAGAGGAGGAGCUUGAUUCUUUUGCCUCCAGCUUCUAAAACUGUGCGAUUAGCCCUGAGCUAACAUCUGCUGCCAAUCCUCCUCUUUUUGCUCAGGAAGACUGGCCCUGAGCUAACAUCCUUGCCUGUCUUCCUCUACUUUAAAUGUGGGACGCCUACCACAGCAUGGCUUGAUGAGCAGUGCCAUGUCCGCACCCGGGAUCCGAACCAGCGAACCCCAGGCCAACGAAGCAGAACGUGUGAACUUAACCACUGCACCACUGGGCCAGCCCCUGCUGAUGCACUUUUAAUAACUGGUAUGGGAACAGCUAGAUAGCCACUUGGAGAAAGACAAAGUUGGAAUGAUACCUCACUACGUACUCUAGGAAAAACUCCAAAAAAGAAUAAAAAUGUAAAUUUAUAAAAGAAAAC